AAUAACGGUCCCUCUUCCCCUCCUCGCGCUUUAGAAUGACGAACGCCACCAACGUUUACGGAAUAAUAAUUAACAACACGUUAAAACAGUAGUGACAAUAAAGCUUAUUAUUUCAUUAAGAUAAUAAUGAUGAUGAUAAUAAUAAUAAUAAUAAUAAUAAUAAUAAUAUGAAGGCCAAGCAAUUGGGUAGUAUUCAGUGUACAUCCUGCUCCGACAAGAACCACCGAAAAGGAGGAGCAUGACCUUGAUUUAAGUCCAUCAGUUUCAAUGGGGCUACUCGAGACAAUUAGCUUGAAUCACCUUUUAUAGAAGAUGGACAUGACAUCCACACUUCAGUACAAUCCUUUGGCUGUCUACUCGGAAGUAAGUUUCAUUGAAUUCAGUGGCAUUUAUUCCCAGGAAACUGGAUAGAGGAUUUGGAAACUUCAGUUGGUCCAAAGGGAGGUGACCAGAAUUACUAGGGGCACCUGAUGACUGGAGCAUAUAAUUCUAGACUUGUGCUAGAUCCAAUGAUUACCCACAAGGAUUCUUAUAUAAAGCUGCCCACAUUUUAAGAUCUAUUUUGGAGGCCCCGCUCCCUGCAUGAAUGAUCAAAGUGGCUAAACACAAGAGACAGGGCCUUUUCAGUAGUGGUGCCGAUGCUUUGAAAUGCCCUCCCUGUGGUGACUUGCCUGGCCCUGACAUUUCCUGGAAAGAAACAGAAAUUAUGCAAAUAGGCAUUUACCAUCUAGCUCUGCUGCUGUUUCUAACUGCUGCCUUUUAUGGUUGGUUGCUUCUAAUCCUUUUUAAAGUGCUUUAUUUGUUCUUUAUCGCAUCAUUGUGUCCCACUUUUUUUUUAGCGGCUCUGAGUAUUUAUUGGUAAAAGAGUGGGAUAUAAACAUUAAAUAGUAAUAAUAAUAAAUAGCAUCCAGAACGUCCUUUAAUGCAGCACUUUUUAGCCGAUUUUUCAUAUCAUCUCUCUUUGUAUCCCCCUCCUCCUAAGAGCAAACUCCAUCAGCCCCAGCCAGCAGGGUGAGGAUAUACUUCAUUAUGUCGUUGCAGCCACUUGAAUACAAUAUAAAACAGUAAUGACUUAA